rnacentral:rRNA from 1 species
GGGCGCACGGGUGCGUAACACGUAUGCAACCUACCUAUUAUUGGGGGAUAGCCUUUGGAAACGGAGAUUAAUACCGCAUAAUACGAUUGACUGGCAUCGGUUGAUUGUUAAAGCUUCGGCGAUAAUAGAUGGGCAUGCGUCCAAUUAGUUAGUUGGUUAGGUAACGGCUGACCAAGACGAUGAUUGGUAGGGGAUCUGAGAGGAUAAUCCCCCACACUGGCACUGGGAUACGGGCCAGACUCCUACGGGAGGCAGCAGUAGGGAAUAUUGGGCAAUGGGCGGAAGCCUGACCCAGCCAUGCCGCGUGCAGGAAGAAGGCGUUAUGCGUUGUAAACUGCUUUUUUAUAGGAAGAAGGAUCCCUUGCGAGGGAAGGUGACGGUACUAUAAGAAUAAGCACCGGCUAACUCCGUGCCAGCAGCCGCGGUAAUACGGAGGGUGCAAGCGUUGUCCGGAUUUAUUGGGUUUAAAGGGUGCGUAGGCGGUUUAUUAAGUCAGUGGUGAAAGACGGUCGCUCAGCGAUUGCAGUGCCAUUGAUACUGGUAGACUUGAGUGAGAUUGAGGUAGCUGGAAUGGAUAGUGUAGCGGUGAAAUGCAUAGAUAUUAUCCAGAACACCGAUUGCGAAGGCAGGUUACUAAGUCUUAACUGACGCUGAGGCACGAAAGUGUGGGGAUCAAACAGGAUUAGAUACCCUGGUAGUCCACACUGUAAACGAUGAUGACUAACUGUUGGCUUUAGGGUCAGUGGUACAGAGAAAUCAUUAAGUCAUCCACCUGGGGAGUACGCCGGCAACGGUGAAACUCA